UGGCUCAGUUGGUAGAGCAUGGUGUGGGCAACACCAGGGUUGUGGGUUCAAUUCCCAC
rfam:Salmo salar isolate Sally breed double haploid chromosome ssa16, whole genome shotgun sequence.